rnacentral:antisense_RNA from 1 species
UGAGGGAGGCUUUCUCACGCAGACCCUAAAACGGGCUGGGCCGUGGGAGUGCUGGCCAACGUGCCAGGCAGGGAGGACCUGAAUUCCUGAAGGUGGUGGUGGCAGCUGUUAGGGUCCACAGGUUAAUGAUCUCCAACGUCACACAGAAGAGAAUGUGCUGAGGUGUGACCUCCCUCACCCUGCCUUGGCUGCGUGGGGCACUGUCUCUCCAGGACUCACCCUGCCCCCCAGUAGACUGAAGUCUGAAGAUCAACCCAGUCUUCCUUCAGGCCUCAAUGCCCUCUCACUUCCCCAGCCCGAGGGACUCCUGGCUCUUCUCGGAGGCUGCUCUGUGGGGUCCCUCCCUUGGGCCUUUGCUAAUGCUGUGCCCUCUGCCUGUCCCAGAGGUGGGCCUGGGCCCAUUUCUCAGGGAGCUCCUGAACACCAAGAAAUUGAAUUGCUUUGUAAAUAAACCAAAAGUGCCAAACAAGCCUGCCUGUCACUUGGGAGAUGGCCCGUCUCUGCCCCACCAAAUUUGCUAAUCAAACAAAUAACCUAAAAUAGAAUAGAAAGAACUC